rnacentral:rRNA from 1 species
AGGGUUCGAUUCUGGCUCAGGAUGAACGCUAGCUACAGGCUUAACACAUGCAAGUCGAGGGCAGCAUUAAGUAGCUUGCUAACUUAGAUGGCGACCGGCGCACGGGUGAGUAACGCGUAUCCAACCUUCCCCUUACUCAGGGAUAGCCCGGUGAAAACCGGAUUAACACCUGAUAGUUUCACUAGAUGGCAUCUGACGGUGAAUAAAGUUUUACGGUAAGGGAUGGGGAUGCGUCUGAUUAGCUUGUUGGCGGGGUAACGGCCCACCAAGGCGACGAUCAGUAGGGGUUCUGAGAGGAAGGUCCCCCACAUUGGAACUGAGACACGGUCCAAACUCCUACGGGAGGCAGCAGUGAGGAAUAUUGGUCAAUGGGCGAGAGCCUGAACCAGCCAAGUAAGCGUGCAGGAAGACGGCCCUAUGGGUUGUAAACUGCUUUUGUACGGGAAUAAAGUGACCCACGUGUGGGUUUUUGCAUGUACCGUAAGAAUAAGGACCGGCUAAUUCCGUGCCAGCAGCGGC